rnacentral:snRNA from 1 species
AAUUAUGUGCGUCCCUCGUGCUCAGUCGAAGAGGAUGGCCAUCCUGGUAGAGGGGACCGUUCUUCGGUCAAGGGUAUACGAGUAGCUGCACUUCCCUGCCAGACCCUCCAGACAAGCUCUCAGUUACGGAAUGCCUAUAUGACCUUGGACAGAUUGGUGGUUCGCUUACAUCUGUUUCAUCAUCUUUGAAAUAGUACUUGCUGGGCUAGUGGAU